rnacentral:rRNA from 1 species
AAAUUGAAGAGUUUGAUCAUGGCUCAGAUUGAACGCUGGCGGCAGGCCUAACACAUGCAAGUCGAACGGUAACAGGAAUCAGCUUGCUGAUUCGCUGACGAGUGGCGGACGGGUGAGUAAUGUCUGGGAAACUGCCUGAUGGAGGGGGAUAACUACUGGAAACGGUAGCUAAUACCGCAUAACGUCGCAAGACCAAAGAGGGGGACCUUCGGGCCUCUUGCCAUCGGAUGUGCCCAGAUGGGAUUAGCUAGUAGGUGGGGUAAAGGCUCACCUAGGCGACGAUCCCUAGCUGGUCUGAGAGGAUGACCAGCCACACUGGAACUGAGACACGGUCCAGACUCCUACGGGAGGCAGCAGUGGGGAAUAUUGCACAAUGGGCGCAAGCCUGAUGCAGCCAUGCCGCGUGUAUGAAGAAGGCCUUCGGGUUGUAAAGUACUUUCAGCGGGGAGGAAGGGAGUAAAGUUAAUACCUUUGCUCAUUGACGUUACCCGCAGAAGAAGCACCGGCUAACUCCGUGCCAGCAGCCGCGGUAAUACGGAGGGUGCAAGCGUUAAUCGGAAUUACUGGGCGUAAAGCGCACGCAGGCGGUUUGUUAAGUCAGAUGUGAAAUCCCCGGGCUCAACCUGGGAACUGCAUCUGAUACUGGCAAGCUUGAGUCUCGUAGAGGGGGGUAGAAUUCCAGGUGUAGCGGUGAAAUGCGUAGAGAUCUGGAGGAAUACCGGUGGCGAAGGCGGCCCCCUGGACGAAGACUGACGCUCAGGUGCGAAAGCGUGGGGAGCAAACAGGAUUAGAUACCCUGGUAGUCCACGCCGUAAACGAUGUCGACUUGGAGGUUGUGCCCUUGAGGCGUGGCUUCCGGAGCUAACGCGUUAAGUCGACCGCCUGGGGAGUACGGCCGCAAGGUUAAAACUCAAAUGAAUUGACGGGGCCCGCACAAGCGGUGGAGCAUGUGGUUUAAUUCGAUGCAACGCGAAGAACCUUACCUGGUCUUGACAUCCACAGAACUUUCCAGAGAUGGAUUGGUGCCUUCGGGAACUGUGAGACAGGUGCUGCAUGGCUGUCGUCAGCUCGUGUUGUGAAAUGUUGGGUUAAGUCCCGCAACGAGCGCAACCCUUAUCCUUUGUUGCCAGCGGUCCGGCCGGGAACUCAAAGGAGACUGCCAGUGAUAAACUGGAGGAAGGUGGGGAUGACGUCAAGUCAUCAUGGCCCUUACGACCAGGGCUACACACGUGCUACAAUGGCGCAUACAAAGAGAAGCGACCUCGCGAGAGCAAGCGGACCUCAUAAAGUGCGUCGUAGUCCGGAUUGGAGUCUGCAACUCGACUCCAUGAAGUCGGAAUCGCUAGUAAUCGUGGAUCAGAAUGCCACGGUGAAUACGUUCCCGGGCCUUGUACACACCGCCCGUCACACCAUGGGAGUGGGUUGCAAAAGAAGUAGGUAGCUUAACCUUCGGGAGGGCGCUUACCACUUUGUGAUUCAUGACUGGGGUGAAGUCGUAACAAGGUAACCGUAGGGGAACCUGCGGUUGGAUCACCUCCUUACCUUAAAGAA